rnacentral:rRNA from 1 species
AUUGAACGCUGGCGGCAUGCUUUACACAUGCAAGUCGGACGGCAGCGGGGAGUGCUUGCACUCUGCCGGCGAGUGGCGAACGGGUGAGUAAUGCAUCGGAACGUACCGAGUAAUGGGGGAUAACUGUCCGAAAGGACAGCUAAUACCGCAUACGCCCUGAGGGGGAAAGCGGGGGAUCUUAGGACCUCGCGUUAUUCGAGCGGCCGAUGUCUGAUUAGCUAGUUGGUGGGGUAAAGGCCUACCAAGGCGACGAUCAGUAGCGGGUCUGAGAGGACGAUCCGCCACACUGGGACUGAGACACGGCCCAGACUCCUACGGGAGGCAGCAGUGGGGAAUUUUGGACAAUGGGCGCAAGCCUGAUCCAGCCAUGCCGCGUGUCUGAAGAAGGCCUUUCGGGUUGUAAAGGACUUUUGUCCAGGGAAGAAAAGGCGGGUGCUAAUACCAUCUGCUGAUGACGUACCUAAGAAUA